rfam:Pteropus alecto contig168205, whole genome shotgun sequence.
GUCUACGGCCAUGCUACCCUGAACAAGCCCAAUCCUGUCUGAUCUCGGAAGUUAAGCAGAGUCGGACCUGGUUAGUACUUGGAUGGGAAACCACAUAGGAAGACCAGGUGCUGUAGGCA